rnacentral:rRNA from 1 species
UGGGGAAUUUUGGACAAUGGGCGCAAGCCUGAUCCAGCCAUGCCGCGUGAGUGAAGAAGGCCUUCGGGUUGUAAAGCUCUUUCGGCGGGGACGAAACGGUCCGUGACAACACCACGGACUAAUGACGGUACUCGCAGAAGAAGCACCGGCUAACUACGUGCCAGCAGCCGCGGUAAUACGUAGGGUGCAGGCGUUAAUCGGAAUUACUGGGCGUAAAGCGUGCGCAGGCGGCUCCUUAAGUCAGAUGUGAAAGCCCCGGGCUUAACCUGGGAACUGCGUUUGAAACUGGGGGGCUAGAGUGUGGAAGAGGGGGGUGGAAUUCCAGGUGUAGCAGUGAAAUGCGUAGAGAUCUGGAGGAACACCGAUGGCGAAGGCAGCCCCCUGGGCUAACACUGACGCUCAUGCACGAAAGCGUGGGGAGCAAACAG